rnacentral:rRNA from 1 species
UACGUAGGGGGCGAGCGUUGUCCGGAGUUACUGGGCGUAAAGGGCACGCAGGCGGUGCGGCGCGUUUCGCGUGACAGCGGAGGGCUUAACUCUCCGAGGAUGCGAAAGACGGCGGCACUUGAGGGCCAGAGAGGGACACGGAAUUCCGGGUGGAGUGGUGAAAUGCGUAGAGAUCCGGAGGAACACCGAAGGCGAAGGCAGUGUCCUGGCUGGUGACUGACGCUGAGGUGCGAAAGCUAGGGAGCGAACGG